CUAGCACCAUUUGAAUUCAGUU
rnacentral:miRNA from 1 species